CCUAAACCUUAAAAAGACUUUUUCUCUCUUCUACACGCCAAGGCGGCCACACCACUUCCUCCUCCCCCUUACGUUUCUUUUAUUCACUUCUUAUGAUUUCAGAGGUAAAAAUGAUCUCAUAAAUGAAGGGGCUGAAAACAACCCACAUUAAGAUGAAUAUCUAAUAACAGAAUCAAUAUAAGAAUUUGAGAAGAAUCAAGCGAUAGAAUCAUGGAGUUUUGUGCUUAAUUUAAGGUGGUUGAUGAUCAAUGGGUAAUGAAUUUUAAGGUGCUUUGAGGAACCUGUUGUUAGUUGAUUCUACGACAUCAGUUGAAUUUUUUGCUUCAAUUACACCGUAUAAUGUUUUUGUGAAUGUGGGUUGUAUAUGGGAUAAUGGGUCGUACCCAGUGAGUUAUUGAAUAGUUGAUCUUCUUCCUCGUUUCUCUGAUACUGCAAUUUCAUUCCCUGUGUUGAUGAAGUGUACCAGAGAGAGACUAGUUUUACAAGGAUGGAGGGACAAAGAUUGUCAGAGAGAUAAAAAAUCUGAGCUAAAGACAUCUUUAUCUCAUCCUUAAGAAGAGGAGCAGCAACCACUAUUCUGAGUCACGGGUUGUCCUCGGAUAUAAACGGUUGGAGGCUUAGCGCUGUUCAUAGCAGGUUGGCUUGCCAUCCUGAAAAACCCCAAUUUACAAAUUAACGUGGGAUAUAAGUGAUAAGAUACGGACUACAAGUGAGUGAUGGCACAGUUAAACACUAAUAAAGGUAGUACCCAUCAACACAGCAUUUGAUCAAUUUUAUCAAUUUGAAGCGAUGAUCGGUGGGAGAGACGAGCUGAAGAACAAUGGAAAAGAUGGAGAAGAAGAAGAAGUGCCGCCGUCUGAAUCGAAUAUAAUUUAGUUUUUUUUCUUUUUCUUUUUCUUUAGAUUUUAUUGUUGGGGUGGUUCUUUAUCGGGGUGUAAACAAAAAGUCAAAAAGUUAGUAUUUAGGAUAAAUGAGAACGAAUUGGGGUGGCAAAUAGGAGAAAUGAGGGUGGCAAUUAGGAAAAGUGGGGGUGGCAAAUAGGUGGAGCCUUGUCUAUUGCUAUCGAUUUCCAGUCUCACUUUUGAUCUACGAUCAAAAAGGAAAUCACACAUAUAAGAUUAUCUGUGGGAGGCAUAUUGGUUUAUAGUCUUCAAUUGAGUUGAAGCAAUUCUUAGGUUGUAAAGGAUGUCAGCUAAGGGAAUCAAUUGUGCGGAGUCCUGCUGGAAUUCAAGAGGCGUAAGGAUCAUGACUGUAACUGAAUUGUUGUGAGCGUUUAAUUUGGUCUCCACUACAUUCCAGCCCGAAGUUAAUUGGUAGUAGGCUAGUGUGUGUAGCGGUUUAAUAAAGUUUGGUGUUCAAAUCUGGACUAGGUCCCUGGGUUUUAUCAGCAUUUGAGGUUUUCCUCGUUAACAAAAUUUCUGGUACCUGUGUUAUUUCUUUUCAACAUUAUAUUGUUUAUCAUUAUAAUUGAAAUAUCAUAGGUUGUAUGUAAAUCAAUUAAACCAGUUAGUCAUCCAA